rnacentral:rRNA from 1 species
AACGAACGCUGGCGGCAGGCCUAACACAUGCAAGUCGAGCGAGCAUUUCGGUGCUAGCGGCGGACGGGUGAGUAACGCGUGGGAACAUGCCCUUUUCUGCGGAAUAGUCCUGGGAAACUGGGGGUAAUACCGCAUACGCCCUUUUGGGGAAAGAUUUAUCGGAGAAGGAUCGGCCCGCGUUGGAUUAGGUAGUUGGUGGGGUAAUGGCCCACCAAGCCGACGAUCCAUAGCUGGUUUGAGAGGAUGAUCAGCCACACUGGGACUGAGACACGGCCCAGACUCCUACGGGAGGCAGCAGUGGGGAAUCUUAGACAAUGGGGGCAACCCUGAUCUAGCCAUGCCGCGUGAGUGAUGAAGGCCUUAGGGUUGUAAAGCUCUUUCAGCUGGGAAGAUAAUGACGGUACCAGCAGAAGAAGCCCCGGCUAACUCCGUG